GACGUAGGUGGCGAACGUUAUCCGGAAUUAUUGGGCGUAAAGGAUGCGUAGCUGGUGUAGUAAGUUAUCGGUGGUAAAUCGAGGCUCAACCUCGUGGAAGUCGGUAAUACUGCUAUGCUAGAGGAUAGGAGAGGUUAACGGAACUCCCUGUGGAGCGGUGAAAUGCGUAGAUAUAGGGAAGAACACCAAUAAGGCGAAGGCAGUUAACUAUUCUAUUCCUGACAGUGAGGCAUGAAAGCGUGGGGAGCAAAACGG
rnacentral:rRNA from 1 species